UACGGAGGGUGCAAGCGUUAUCCGGAUUCACUGGGUUUAAAGGGUGCGUAGGUGGGCAGGUAAGUCAGUGGUGAAAUCUCCGAGCUUAACUCGGAAACUGCCGUUGAUACUAUUUGUCUUGAAUAUUGUGGAGGUAAGCGGAAUAUGUCAUGUAGCGGUGAAAUGCUUAGAUAUGACAUAGAACACCAAUUGCGAAGGCAGCUUACUACACAACGAUUGACGCUGAGGCACGAAAGCGUGGGGAGCAAAACGG
rnacentral:rRNA from 1 species